rnacentral:tRNA from 1 species
UUCUCUGUGGUGCAAUUGGCCAGCGUGUCCAGGUGUUAACUGGAAGGAUGGUGGUUGGAGCCUACUCAGGGAUA